rnacentral:rRNA from 1 species
AGAGUUUGAUCCUGGCUCAGGAUGAACGCCGGCGAUGUGCCUAAUACAUGCAAGUCGUACGCACUGGCCCAGCUGAUUGACGGUGCUUGCACCAGAUUGACGCUGGAUACCCAGUGAGUGGCGGACGGGUGAGUAACACGUGGGUAACCUGCCCCGGAGCGGGGGAUAACAUUUGGAAACAGAUGCUAAUACCGCAUAACAACGAAAACCACAUGGUUUUCGUUUGAAAGAUGGCAUAUGCUAUCACUCUGGGAUGGACCCGCGGUGCAUUAGCUAGUUGGUAAGGUAACGGCUUACCAAGGCGAUGAUGCAUAGCCGAGUUGAGAGACUGAUCGGCCACAAUGGAACUGAGACACGGUCCAUACUCCUACGGGAGGCAGCAGUAGGGAAUCUUCCACAAUGGGCGCAAGCCUGAUGGAGCAACACCGCGUGAGUGAAGAAGGGUUUCGGCUCGUAAAGCUCUGUUGUUGGAGAAGAACGUACCUGAGAGUAACUGUUCAGGUAGUGACGGUAUCCAACCAGAAAGUCACGACUAACUACGUGCCAGCAGCCGCGGU